CAGCAGCGCAGGAAACACUGCCAUAGAGCAAAAAUAUCGAUCUUCGGAUUUUAAAGAAUAGCUAAGGACAAAACGCAGUCGUUUUAAAGACAUUGUAUCGUAUAAAUAGACAUUUUAACCAGCCUUACUGCUUCAUAAUGCAUGCAAGUGGCCAAGCUUUAAGCGGAAACGUACUUACAGAAUAUGGCAUGUGUUUGGACAGUUAUACCCAGCCAACAGAAACAGAGCUCUGGAACAUGUGGAGAGACAUUGACUUUAAUGAUGGACAUCUGCUCAUGCACAGGCCAGAAUCAUAACCCCUUCUGGACAUCAUGCUGGGGCUCAGGGGGGGACCCCAUGAGCCCCCACUCCACACCAUUCAUUCAUAUAACGGAGAUCUGGCUGGACUCGAACCAGCAACCUCUGAACCAUGAGGCAGUGCUCUUACCUCUGAGCCACAGAUCUCUUGUCUGAACAUGAGCAGG
rnacentral:lncRNA from 1 species